rnacentral:lncRNA from 1 species
UGUUUAUAUUUGGUUCACCUUCACUCUGGAUCAUAAUUGUUUCUCCCAUCAGUCGUUAUUCACCAGUUGACCCUAUCGGUUCAACCAAAAAUAAUUUUGUUAGACAUGGAGAACAUAGUCGUAAAGAUCCCGGCUCCACUUCUUGGACAUUGUGCAAACUAAUUUUACUGCUAAAAAGACCUUUAAAACCUUUUAAUACAAUGACAUAUAGACUGUGAAGAUACAUAGUUUUUUAAUCUUUUUAAUUAAUGACUACCAACUUGUAACUCCUACAUGUUAAACAACCAGAGGAGGUGACAACGACUACCGUUACUCAAAGAACAUUGUCUCCACAAAUUGUAAAUUAUGAAUUCGACUGUAUCUGAGUCCGCUUACUAUAAAAAAAAAGAUGCAAGUUUUUGGUGCCAGUUUGAUGUUUUAUUCAAAUACUGCACAUGAGUACAUGAGGACAAAAUUAGCUGUACUGCCCGAUUCAGAGACAGUCCAUAGAUGGUUCAGGAACAUCAAAUUCACGCCAGGCGUCAGUAAGCCUAUGUUACAGAGCAUCAAGAAAACCCAUCAAAAUUUGUAUUUCAAAAUGAUGUGCUAUGAGAUGCACAUCAACAAACAUAUCGAAACUGGUGGCAAAGUCACCUAUGGAUUUGUUGACGUAGGAGCAGGAGGUACGAAUGAUACCAGCGAGACAUCAGCAGCUUUGGUUUAUAUGAUUGUAGCCUUAAAUGGGAAUUUGAAAGCUCCCAUAGCUUUUUAUUUUAUAAACGGAACGGGAG